rnacentral:rRNA from 1 species
UAAAGGCUGACCUGCCGCGAGGUAUUAAAGAAAUUUAAUUGAUUUGUGUGAGUCGGAGAGAGAAUGUGUGGGGAGGACAGUGUAGAACUCAGGAGGGUCCUAAAAUAUUUUUUGUGGUGUGAAUGGUAUUUCUGUGGGUGGGGUUAAGUGGGGGGUUGGUGGGUGUUGUGGAGUGGGGGGAGGGAGCCGACAAGACCUGGGAGUGUGGGUGGAUGUGCUCUAUUGGGAAAGGAGGUGUUUUAUGACACGACUCGACGUUUCUAAUUACUACGACAGUGGAGUUUACUUUACUACUAUUCUUUUGUUGGUUGGGGGAACGUUGUUUGGGGGGGGAGUUCUGGAGUGGAUGCAAACAAAAAAUAUUUUUUUAAACUAAUUGAGUGAAGACAAGAUUUGUUUUAGUAGAAAACAACUUCAAAACUUUCAACAAUGGAUCUUUGGUUGCUGCGGAUGCGAUGAAGAAGCGCAGCGAAAUGCGAUAGCGUAAUGUGAAUUGCAGAAUUGGCGUGAAUGCAUGCGAAUGCUUUGAACGCGCAUUGCGCGCCGCUGGUAUUGGCCGGGGGGGAUGGCUGUUUGAGCGUGAUUUGCCUUGCUGCAAAGCGCUUGUGUUUGGUAGUGAGUGAUAGCGCGUUUUUGAGUUAAGCUUGAAAUUGUAGGGCAUAUGCAGUAUGUGGGACGCGAGCGCAAGCUUGCUGCUAUUAAUGCUGCUGCGCGUUGUGCGCGAGGGGGCGGGGGUUAAUAGCUGUAUUAGGUUUUAGCGCAAGCUGCGGUGUUGAUGCUAGGGAGGGAUAAGUGAGUGUUUUGUGCGUGCUGGCAGACAGACGUGCUUUAAGUUUGAGCUGCAAUGCAGUAGGGUUAGGCCGCUGAAGCUUAAGCAUAUGCAUAAAGGGCGGAGGCACCCC